CUGAAGAUCACUCCGCGGUUUCCAGACUUCUCGCGUUCGUUACGUCAUGAAGCCGGGGACUUUCCCAUUAUCCAGAGACCCGGGGCUGUUUGCGUCAGCGGCGAGAGCCUGGUCGACAGGGUGUGUGCGUUAACGGCUAAGCAGAGAUGCAGAGAAACCCUGCAAGGAAACCAGAACGAAAAAGCAACAGGAAACAGCAAAGAGAUGAGAACGCUCAAAGGUGCUCAACCAUAUUAAACCCGAACAAGGUUGCAGAAGUCACCUGACGUCUCCUAAACAGCAAUUCAGACAGAUCUUUGGAGGAUAUUUUUUCCACUCAAGGGAAUGGAAUUGGAUUGUUUAAUAUUUAAUGAUAAUUUGUUCACGUUAAACCUUGUAGCAUGAGCUGCUAAACCAACACUGAGUCAGUGAAUUAAAACUAGAGCAUGGACAAGCGUUGAGUCAUCUGCCAAUAUUGUCUGUCAGAGAGAAAGCUGCUUAUUAGAGGUGUGUGCAGCUCAUUCCUGAGCUAGAGUGGCCCAAACGGGACUGGAUGCAGUGGAGCCUGCUGAGCACCAGCAGCAACAAUAAGACACCAGAUAAUCAGCUUGAUGGAAACUGCACACGGCUCAAGCCGAUGAGUAUUUCAAACCGAAUAAUUGUUGGUCUGGCAAGUGCUUUACCUGAAGUCUCCAUCUGAUCUGUAAUGGCAGUGGUUUUUACAUCUUAUAAACCUAAAAUGUUUUA